ACCCAGGAGAAGCUGAUCAAGUACUGCCAGUCCAAAGGGAUUGUUGUGACAGCAUACAGUCCUCUUGGCUCCCCAGACAGGCCAUGGGCUAAGCCAGAGGAUCCUUCCCUUCUGGAUGAACCCAAGAUUAAAGAGAUCGCGGCCAAGCACAA